rnacentral:misc_RNA from 1 species
CCGAGUUCAUGCCCUUACGGGUAGAUCUCCCACCCUGUGUUAUUAUUACCUUUGUUGCUUUGGCGGGCCGUCAGAUUUCGGUCAGGCUACCGGCUCCGGCUGGUAAGCGCCCGCCAGAGGACCCCAAACUCGUUUGUUUAGUGAUGUCUGAGUACUAUAUAAUAGUUA